rnacentral:rRNA from 1 species
UACGUAGGGGGCAAGCGUUGUCCGGAUUUAUUGGGCGUAAAGCGCUCGUAGGCGGUUCGGUAAGUCGGAUGUGAAAUCUCCAGGCUCAACCUGGAGGGGUCAUUCGAUACUGCCGUGACUAGAGUUCGGUAGGGGAGUGUGGAAUUCCUGGUGGAGCGGUGAAAUGCGCAGAUAUCAGGAGGAACACCCGUAGCGAAGGCGGCUCUCUGGGACGGUACUGACGCUGAGACGCGAAAGCGUGGGGAGCGAACAGG